AAUGUCAUGGGGAAGAAUAUUUUUAGGACAUCAAAAGAAAAUACGCAAACUUUUAUAUCGUUUCAUACACACUUCAGUUGGCCUGAUUUUAUGAACAUGAGCUUACUUCAGGCAACUCCAGAAGUUCGAGUGAGUGGAAUUUAGGAGGAAGGCCUGGCUCGGGAUGGCAUCCUCGGGCAGGCUCUGAGGGCACGAGCACCAGCCGCGGUCUCCCACGAGGAACUGUGGAGACACCUGCGAGAAACAGGUACAAUGUUUGCAUCUUGGCUUACGGACAGACAGGAAGUGGGAAGAGCUUCACCACGCUGCGCCCCGCGUUCCAGGGAGGAGCCAGCCCCACCGUCGGAAUCCUUCGGCGACUUGGACAUCAUCCCCAGAGCCGCUGGAGGACUCUUCAGGAGCUGAUGCAAAGUUACUGGGCAAUCGUGGGCGUGGCCCAGGCCAGAGGCACGUGGCUGAGACGCUGCAGAGCCUGGGGCUUGGAGCCCAAGUGAGCGAGGCAAGCGGAGCGAGGCCGUCCAGCCCCCAGAAAAUUCAGGUGAAGGAGAGGUGGACGCGGGCUUUUCUCCCUUAAA